rnacentral:rRNA from 1 species
UCCAGCCAUGCCGCGUGCAGGAUGAAGGCCUUCGGGUUGUAAACUGCUUUUGUACGGAACGAAAAGACUCUGGUUAAUACCUGGGGUCCAUGACGGUACCGUAAGAAUAAGCACCGGCUAACUACGUGCCAGCAGCCGCGGUAAUACGUAGGGUGCAAGCGUUAAUCGGAAUUACUGGGCGUAAAGCGUGCGCAGGCGGUUAUAUAAGACAGAUGUGAAAUCCCCGGGCUCAACCUGGGAACUGCAUUUGUGACUGUAUAGCUAGAGUACGGCAGAGGGGGAUGGAAUUCCGCGUGUAGCAGUGAAAUGCGUAGAUAUGCGGAGGAACACCGAUGGCGAAGGCAAUCCCCUGGGCCUGUACUGACGCUCAUGCACGAAAGCGUGGGGAGCAAACAGGAUUAGAUACCCUGGUAGUCCACGCCCUAAACGAUGUCAACUGGUUGUUGGGUCUUCACUGACUCAGUAACGAAGCU